GUGCCAGCCGCCGCGGUAAUACGGAGGGUGCAAGCGUUAAUCGGAAUUACUGGGCGUAAAGCGCACGCAGGCGGUCUGUUAAGUCAGAUGUGAAAUCCCCGGGCUCAACCUGGGAACUGCAUCUGAUACUGGCAGGCUUGAGUCUCAUAGAGGGGGGUAGAAUUCCAGGUGUAGCGGUGAAAUGCGUAGAGAUCUGGAGAAAUACCGGUGGCGAAGGCGGCCCCCUGGACAAAGACUGACGCUCAGGUGCGAAAGCGUGGGGAGCAAACAGGAUUAGAUACCCUGGUAGUCCACGCUGUAAACGAUGUCGACUUGGAGGUUGUUCCCUUGAGGAGUGGCUUCCGGAGCUAACGCGUUAAGUCGACCGCCUGGGGAGUACGGCCGCAAGGUUAAAACUCAAAUGAAUUGACGGGGCCCGCACAAGCGGUGGAGCAUGUGGUUUAAUUCGAUGCAACGCGAAGAACCUUACCUGGUCUUGACAUCCACAGAACUUUCCAAGAGAUGGAUUGGUGCCUUCGGGAACUGUGAGAC
rnacentral:rRNA from 1 species